AUUGAACGCUGGCGGCAGGCUUAACACACGCAAGUCGAGCGGGGGAAGGUAGCUUGCUACCGGACCUAGCGGCGGACGGGUGAGUAAUGCUUAGGAAUCUGCCUAUUAGUGGGGGACAACAUCUCGAAAGGGAUGCUAAUACCGCAUACGUCCUACGGGAGAAAGCAGGUGAUCUUCGGACCUGGCGCUAAUAGAUGAGCCUACGUCGGAUUAGCUAGUUGGUGGGGUGAAGGCCUACCAAGGCGACGAUCGGUAGCGGGUCUGAGAGGAUGAUCCGCCACACUGGGACUGAGACACGGCCCAGACUCCUACGGGAGGCAGCAGUGGGGAAUAUUGGACAAUGGGGGGAACCCUGAUCCAGCCAUGCCGCGUGUGUGAAGAAGGCCUUAUGGUUGUAAAGCACUUUAAGCGAGGAGGAGGCUACUCUAGUUAAUACCUAGGGAUAGUGGACGUUACUCGCAGAAUAAGCACCGGCUAACUCUGUGCCAGCCGCCGCUGUAA
rnacentral:rRNA from 1 species